CGGAUCGAGUCAGUGGCUCCUUUGUGCCCCCGCGGGCCCCUCGCUUCGGCUAGAGCCCUCGGCCGGAGCCCUCGGAGUUAGGGCGACUGCGGGUCCCCGCGCCCGCCCCCGGGCCGCCGGGGGGCGAGGCCCGCUGCUGGUGUUUGGGAACACGGUAUCUCACGCGUUGGCUUCUCAACCUCUGGGACCUUUGAAGGAUUCUGAUGCAUGGACUCCCACUCCAGAACCAGAAUCUUUGAGGAUGGCUACUUGGGUGCUCCAAGUCCAGCUGAUGGGGGACAGAACAUGCCACUCCCAAAUCUGCCCCUGUGACAGAAGGAUUAUUUUGAACUAAAGGCACUUGAAAAAGAGCAGGCCAGAGAUCCUAAGAAGGGAGAAAGAAGGUUUGGCUUCCCCUCCACAGCUGAUUCCAAUGUCUCACUCUGGUCGAAAACUACUGCUCUAAUUGUUCCUAAGAGGAAUCCCCUGCCACGGGAGUGUAUGUAUGAAGGGCACCCCCUUUUGUCCUCUGUAAUCCUCAAAGGUGCUGAUUAUACCAAACAAUCACAAGAAGCGAACACCCAGAGUUCUUUAGAUCAGCUUUUUAAAGGGUUCAUCACACAGGUGGACUCCCAGAGUCUACCAUCAGUUCCCUUGCUAGUCUGUUGAUCCGAGCUGUCCAUUUCUUGGCCCACUCUAAGGUCAGAGUUCUCAGUACUCCAGGCCAGAAGCUGUGUGGACUGAAGGACAGGCAGCAACCUUGAGAAGAACAAUCCAAACAGGCUCAGGCUGGCAUCCCGAUUGAUUGAUUGAUUGAUAGCAAAAGGAAAUGCAGGACACCCAAUACUGAAAAAAAUAGUGGAACAUGGGAGCCAUCCACUUCUAUGUAAGACCAUGGCUAUAUCUGUCUCCCAACUGUUCACACCCAUGGCACGAAGAAAAGUUACACUAUUCUGUGGUAUCAUGGAAGGCUCCAGAGAGAAUCUAAUGAGCUAUGAAGCCACUCAAGCUCCCACCAUGUAUUCUUAGCCUGACAAUCUCUCAAUUCCUAUAGUCAUUUUUCUCUUAUGCUGCCUUGUAUUGCAGCGCCUCGCCUUUUUAGCAUAUUCCAAGUCUACACGAGCAGAGUUUUGUUUUUUGUUUUUUUCCACAUUCAUUAUCUCACUCAAUCUUGGCAUUAGCUCCAUAGGAUAAUAAUGCCCCCAGGAUAGGCAUUAUCACCACGCUAUAGGUGAAGAGACAGGCCGGGAGAGACUUGUUCAGGUCUGCAACAAAGAUCUUCCAUCUUAAACACUUUUACUGGAGUUUUUCUUGUUAUGUAAGUGACACCUCUUAGCUAUAGAAAAGGCAGAUCAAUAACAACCCCAACGACAAAAAAUCACUCAACAUCUUACCUCCCAGAGAGAACCGCUGUUAAGGUUUUGAGGGAAUGUCCUUCCAGUCUUUUUUUCCAAACUGAGAGCCAGUGCGCAGUGGGAAGAGCACAGACUCCAGAGGCUGCCCACAGUCUUAUCUCUGCAGCUUACUAGCAUAUGGUAUUAGCAGACUUCUCAACCUCUCCUCCAAGAAAAUGAAGUCAUUUUCUUCAUCUGUAAAAAUGGGGAUAAUAACAUCACCUAACAGUCAGUGUAAGGAUUAAACAAAUAAACAUCUUUGAAAUACUUAGAACAAGUACUUAGAAAGCACUCAAUUAGUCAGCUUUUUUUUUUUUAAUUUUCAUAAGAAUGGUAAUA